rnacentral:misc_RNA from 1 species
AAAGUGCGAUAUGUAGUGCGAUUUGCAUGAAUCUGUGAGUCAUCUAAUCUUUGAACGCAUCUUGCGCCCCUUCGGGGGCAUGUCUGUUUGAGUGCCAGAUACCUAAUGGCAAUGAUUUUGCGGACAGGCCAGUGAUGUUCGAUUUGUGGCAGCACUGGUCUAAAUUCAGCAGGUACAAAUGUGGUGGCUAGCAUAGGCUAGCUCAAGUGCUAAGCAUUCUUGGGCACUAUGGUGGUCAUAGAACAAGGGGGGUGGGCGGUGGUGAGCGGCAGGCAGGCUGCACGCCGGUUUGCUUGUUGCUUUCUUGCUGCUCGCUCCUCCUUUUUGAACUUUGGCCUCAAAUCAGGCAAGACUACCCGCUGAACUUAA